UAGAAAAUUUAUUAAUUAACUGUAAGAAGAGAAGAGAGAAAGAAGAAAUGAGUGGUGUCUACAAAAUCUCCUGCAGAGACUGCGAAUCCUUUUACAUAGGAAUGACAACUCGAAAUAUGAAAAAGAGAUUUAACGAACAUUUAAAAAAUAGACCCAUAUCUGCUCUUGGAGAACAUCUAAAGGAAAAAGAUCACAGCACCAAUUUUGAUAACCUCGAGAUUUUACAUAAAGAAACAAACUACCACAAAAUAACCCUGUUAGAGCAAUACGAGAUAUUGAGAAAAAAGAAUGACUCGAACCUCCUAAAUGACAUAUCAGAUUUCCGAACAUCCAAGAACAUUUUUAAGCUGAUAACUCCCUGCAUUUAAUUUGAAUUUACCCGCCAAACCUUGACACUUCUUUCCUUACCGUAAUCUCGCACCUCUGUUUCCGUUCAAACAUCUUUCUGGUUUCUAGACUGAAUGCCUGCUCCAAAAAAUACAUUAAAUAUCGCCAACAAAUUGGAAUUAAGGAUCAAUUGUCUUUUUAAUUAUGAACAAGAAUUUUUCAUGUUGUUACUUCAGCUGAAUUACUAAACGCUGGCCUGAUGAUGGUUCCACUGUAAACCGAAAUCGAUCGCCGAAGUAUAAAUAUAUAAAUCA